AGUGUUUUCAGAUGCGACGCCGAGGCGUCGCCGGUGCGCGCCUUCAGGCGGAGCGAAGGAGAAAAGCCCUGCAGCUUCAAACCCAGGCGAGGCGAUGGAAAGGCGACCGCCGGAGCGACGAAGCGACGGAGCGAGCGGCGGAGCGACGCGAAGCGACUUCAAUCUCUGGCCUAGCAGCUACCCAUCAGGAGGCUGUGCGCUGCUGGGAUUGGGCCGAAGGGGACCGGACGGUGGCGGCAGAAGAGGGUGAGGAUGAGGUGGAGUGUGACGGCGGCGGCGAUGUAGGCGGGGAUGACGGUGAAGAGGAAGGACCACGUGGAGCCCCAGGAUUUAUGAGGGUAAGAAACUGAAUUCCUUGAGAUUGUGUUUGGUUGAAUCGCUGAUGAUUGAAUCGCACUGACUGGGCUCGAUUUCGUGUGAGAAUUCGACGAGGUGUGGGAAAUUUGGUCUUCACAGACAUGGCAAAUGCUGUAACUAAAGGGAACAUCCGUGUGAAACUCAUUUCAUGUGGGAAGAAAAUUAGUGGGAUAUCUGAUCUUCAAUCUGCAGGUAAUACUAAUGUCUUUACCCUCUAAGGGCUCAUUUUAGGGUAAUUUAACUCCUUUGGAAGACGGCCAAUAAAAUAGUUUGGGCUGCAUUUAGCAGUGGACAAUGUGAGAGGAAAAAGACCUUCCUAUAAACUUUUGGUUCAAUCUGUAUUAAGCAGUUACCAAUAUAUCAUGUCCUUAUAUUGAAGAGAAAGAACAUAAAGAGAUGAUAGACUAAUAGGAGGGGACGGACUAAGGAAAUAUAAAACUUAUGUAGUGAAUUGGGAAUU